GCCAGUAUAGUGUGGGUUAGGGUGUUUGACUCCACGUCGAAAGGUUCUGGGUUCAAUCCCCAGCUGUUGGCA